GGGGCUGUAUUAGAUCGACGGACUAUCGACCAAAGAGCGGCGAGCAAAUCUCAACAAAGGCAACUCCAACCUACGCCUACGCUACUGCCUAAACCCAGUAGCCGUCCCCUUUAGUUUGCUCGGUGGCUAAAGUGUGGGCGUGAUAGAGCCGAGAUAGGUCAAGGGAGCGGUUUGACUCCUUUUGAUCGAAAAUAAACCAAACCUAAAAUUGCCGGAUUUUUGUCUCGAUUUGACCGGCAAUUUGAAAAUCAAUCGAGACUAAGCUUGUAGAUGCUUUUUGGAAGUAGUCACGGACAGGGGUGCAAUUCCCCUCAGCUCCACCA
rnacentral:tmRNA from 1 species